rnacentral:lncRNA from 1 species
CAGUUUAUUGGGGAUAAACUCGUAUAAGCAACGAACAAGAACGAAAAGAGAAAAAAAUAAAAUUGGGCACACAAAUAUUUACAUGGAAAACUCCUCUGAAGAGGAUAAAAAUUGCGAGCAAAGAAAACUUCACUAAAACGGAAAAUAAUCUAAACGAGUACAGGAUGGAGAUAACCCAAAAAAAAACCCUAGACCCCCGG